rnacentral:rRNA from 1 species
GCGAGAUCGAAAACGAAAUGGAAAGGAAACAACUUUGAGCG